rnacentral:rRNA from 1 species
UACGUAGGGUGCAAGCGUUGUCCGGAAUUAUUGGGCGUAAAGAGCUCGUAGGCGGUUUGUUGCGUCGGCUGUGAAAACCUGAGGCUCAACCUCAGGCCUGCAGUCGAUACGAGCAGACUAGAGUGUUGCAGGGGAGACUGGAAUUCCUGGUGUAGCGGUGAAAUGCGCAGAUAUCAGGAGGAACACCGGUGGCGAAGGCGGCUCUCUGGAACGCAACUGACGCUGAGACGCGAAAGCGUGGGGAGCAAACAGG